rnacentral:rRNA from 1 species
CCUACGGGAGGCAGCAGUGGGGAAUAUUGGGCAAUGGGCGAAAGCCUGACCCAGCAACGCCGCGUGAAGGAAGAAGGCUUUCGGGUUGUAAACUUCUUUUAUGAGGAACGAAGGACGUGACGGUACCUCAUGAAUAAGCCACGGCUAACUACGUGCCAGCAGCCGCGGUAAU